AAUCAACGCUGGCGGCGUGCCUAACACAUGCAAGUCGAACGCGAAAGGGGGCUUCGGCUCCUAAGUAGAGUGGCGUCCGGGUGAGUAACACGUAGGUAAUCUGCCUUCGGGUGGGGAAUAACCAGUCGAAAGAUUGGCUAAUACCGCAUAAUGCAGCGGCACCUAAUGGUGAUUAGUUGUUAAAGCGGGGGAUCGUAAGACCUCGCGCCUGAAGAGGAGCCUGCGGCAGAUUAGCUAGUUGGUGAGGUAAUGGCUCACCAAGGCUUCGAUCUGUAGCUGGUCUGAGAGGACGGCCAGCCACACUGGCACUGACACACGGGCCAGACUCCUACGGGAGGCAGCAGUGGGAAUUUUGGGCAAUGGGCGAAAGCCUGACCCAGCAACGCCGCGUGAGGGAGGAAAUCCUUCGGGAUGUAAACCUCACAAGCAAGGGAAGAGAGCUCAGGGCCGAAUAAGCUUUGAGUCCGACGGUACCUUGCGUAAGCCACGGCUAACUACGUGCC
rnacentral:rRNA from 1 species